rnacentral:rRNA from 1 species
ACGAACGCUGGCGGCGCGCCUAACACAUGCAAGUCGCACGAGCGAGAGAGAGCUUGCUUUCUCAAGCGAGUGGCGAACGGGUGAGUAACGCGUGAGGAACCUGCCUCAAAGAGGGGGACAACAGUUGGAAACGACUGCUAAUACCGCAUAAGCCCACAGGUCGGCAUCGACCAGAGGGAAAAGGAGCAAUCCGCUUUGAGAUGGCCUCGCGUCCGAUUAGCUAGUUGGUGAGGUAACGGCCCACCAAGGCAACGAUCGGUAGCCGGACUGAGAGGUUGAACGGCCACAUUGGGACUGAGACACGGCCCAGACUCCUACGGGAGGCAGCAGUGGGGAAUAUUGCACAAUGGGGGAAACCCUGAUGCAGCGACGCCGCGUGGAGGAAGAAGGUCUUCGGAUUGUAAACUCCUGUUGUUGAGGAAGAUAAUGACGGUACUCAACAAGGAAGUGACGGCUAACUACGUG